rnacentral:rRNA from 1 species
GUAUCAUGGCUCAGGAUGAACGCUAGCUACAGGCUUAACACAUGCAAGUCGAGGGGCAGCAUGGUCUUAGCUUGCUAAGGCCGAUGGCGACCGGCGCACGGGUGAGUAACGCGUAUCCAACCUGCCUUACACGUCUUGGACAGCCUUCUGAAAGGGAGAUUAAUACAAGAUGUUAUCAUGAGUAAGCAUUUUCACAUGAUUAAAGGUUUACCGGUGUAAGAUGGGGAUGCGUU